GCUCAGGUGGUGGAAUUGGCAGACACGCCAGACUUAGGAUCUGGUAUCGCAAGAUGUGAGGGUUCAAAUCCCUCUCUGGGCACCA
rnacentral:tRNA from 1 species